GGAGGAGGCAAGCGUUGUCCGGAAUUAUUGGGCGUAAAGAGCGCGUAGGCUGUUUUUCAAGUCAUAUGUGAAAACCUCAGGCUCAACUUGAGGACUGCAUAUGAAACUGGAUAACUUGAGUGCAGUAGGGGAAAGUGGAAUUCCUGGUGUAGCGGUGAAAUGCGCAGAUAUCAGGAAGAACACCGGUAGCGAAGGCGACUUUCUAGACUGCUACUGACGCUGAGGCGCGAAAGCUAGGGGGGAGCAAACAGGAUUAGAUACCCUGGUAGUCCUAGCUGUAAACGAUGGACACUAGGUGUGGGAAGUUAUCGACGCUUUCCGUGCCGGAGCUAACGCAUUAAGUGUCCCCGCCUGGGGAGUACGGCCGCAAGGCUA
rnacentral:rRNA from 1 species